CUGAAGCAUAUGGAAGCUCCCAGGCCAGGGAUCAAACCUGCACCUCUGGAGUUCCCGUCGUGGCGCAGUGGUUAACGAAUCCGACUAGGAACCAUGAGGUUGCGGGUUCGGUCCCUGCCCUUGCUCAGUGGGUUAACGAUCCGGCGUUGCCGUGAGCUGUGGUGUGGGUUGCAGACGUGGCUCGGAUCCCGCGUUGCUGUGGCUCUGGCGUAGGCCGGUGGCUACAGCUCCGAUUCAACCCCUAGCCUGGGAACCUCCAUAUGCCGCGGGAGCGGCCCAAGAAAUAGCAACAAUAACAACAACAACAACAACAACAAAGACAAAAAAAAAAACCUGCACCUCAGCAGUUACCCGAGCCACAGCACUGACAGCACUGGGUCCUUAGCCUGUGGCACCACAAGGAAACUCCUCUAGCAUUUACUACUUGUAAACUUUCAAUGACGGCCAUUCUGAGUGGUUUCAGGUUGUACCUCAUUGUAGUUUUGAUUUGCAUUUCUCUAAUCAGUAACCUGUUUUAAGUCUUCUUGGAAGAAUGUGCUGAGCGUUAAGGUAAACCAGAGGUAGCAUAUCCAAUCAGACCGCAAGUCAGGGAAAAAAACAUGGAUGAGGGCAGUGUGGACUCUCCAAAGAAAAGUUGGCAAUAAAAAGAAAAAUGACAGGACAGAGCUUAACUGAGAAUUCAUUAAGGGAGAAGGAAGAUUUUUUUUUUUUUAAGGAGGAAGGAAAGUGGGAGUUUCCUGGUAGCUCGACAGGUUAAAGAUGCAGCACAGUCACUCUUACGGCUCAAGUUAUACCUGUGGCGCAGGUUCAGUCCCUGGCCUGGGAACCUCCAUAUGCCUCGGGAGCGGCCCAAGAAAUAGCAACAACAACAACAAAAGACAAAAGACAAAAAGACAAAAAAAAAAAAAAAAAGAAAAGAAAUAUUCAGGGGAAAAGAAAAGGGUGUGUGUGAUUUGGGUAAGAAGACCUCGGGUGUAAUAUUUGCACUUUCUUCUCAAAGCAGCAGAAGCUAGGACGCUGCAGAGGAGUUUUUCUAAGUGUUACAUUUCAAACACCUCUUAGGAGCUCACAGUCUAAGA
rnacentral:lncRNA from 1 species